rnacentral:rRNA from 1 species
AUUGAACGCUGGCGGCGUGCCUAACACAUGCAAGUCGAGCGGUAACAGGUGUAGCAAUACAUGCUGACGAGCGGCGAACGGGUGAGUAAUGCUUUGGAAUCUUCCCAGUAGUGGGGAAUAACCAGUCGAAAGAUUGGCUAAUACCGCAUACGUCUGUAAAGGGAAAGCGGGGGCUCGUAAGACCUCGCGCUAUUGGAUGAGCCAAAGUCGGAUUAGCUAGUUGGGGGGUAAUGGCCUACCAAGGCGACAAUCCGUAGCUGGUCUGAGAGGACGACCAGCCACACCGGAACUGAGACACGGUCCGGACUCCUACGGGAGGCAGCAGUGGGGAAUAUUGGACAAUGGGGGAAACCCUGAUCCAGCGACGCCGCGUGUGUGAAGAAGGCCUGCGGGUUGUAAAGCACUUUUAGUGGGGACAAAAAGCUACGGAUUAAUACUCUGUGGUCUUGAUUUAACCCAAAGAAAAAGCACCGGCUAACUCUGUGCCAGCAGCCGCAGUAAC